CAUGUGUAAGAACUGUAUGAAUAUACUUUUGUCCAAUUUUAUUAUCAUAUUUUUUUAUAUAUUUUUUUUUUAAAUUGUGCAUAAGGAUUUUUUUUUUGUGGGCCAAAUGACGUAAGAAAUUUGACAUGCUCAAAAAUCCUGCAGAAAUGCAAAAUUGACUGGCCUGAUGAACUCGGGAUGGCCGGGCAGUGAUAGUUGUUCCUUUCCAUCACUCGUUGUGUUGACUUCAUCAUGUCCAUUUUGUGAUGUUUUUUCACUAUAUAAUCAUAUUGCAAGUGCACGUGCAUUUGCAAUAUGUUUCAAUGUGCAUUUACCAUAUGAAAUUUGACCUUGCUCAAAAAUGCAAAAUUGACUGGUCUGAUGAACACAGGAUGGCCGAGCAGUGAUAGUUGUACAUUUCCAUCACUCGUUGUGUUGAUUUCAUCAUCUCCGUUAGGUGAUGUUUUUACACUAUAGAAUCAUAUUGCAAAUGCACGUGCAUUGUUGUGCAACUGGUAACCCAAAAUAAAAAUAUGGUUGUAAAUGCAUUUACCGGUCAUUCUGAUAUUAAUGCUCGCUAUGGGAACACAGGAUGGCCGGGCAGUGAUAGUUGUACAUUUCCAUCACUCGUUGUGUUGAUUUCAUCAUGUCCAUUAGGUGAUGUUUUUACACUAUAGAAUCAUAUUGCAAGUGCGCGCGCAUUUGCAAUAUGUUUCAAUGUGCAUUUACCAUAUGAAAUUUGACAUGCUCAAAAAUGCAAAAUUGACUGGUCUGAUGGACACAGGAUGGCCGAGCAGUGAUAGUUGUACAUUUCCAUCACUCGUUGUGUUGAUUUCAUCAUGUCCAUUAGGUGAUGUUUUUUCACUAUAGAAUCAUAUUGCAAAUGCACGUGCAUUGUUGUGCAACUGGUAACCCAAAAAUAAAAAUAUGGUUGUAAAUGCAUUUAGCGGUCAUUCUGAUAUUAAUGCUCGCUAUGGGAACACAGGAUGGCCGGGCAGUGAUAGUUGUACAUUUCCAUCACUCGUUGUGUUGAUUUCAUCAUGUCCAUUAGGUGAUGUUUUUACACUAUAGAAUCAUAUUGCAAGUGCGCGCGCAUUUGCAAUAUGUUUCAAUGUGCAUUUACCAUAUGAAAUUUGACAUGCUCAAAAAUGCAAAAUUGACUGGUCUGAUGGACACAGGAUGGCCGAGCAGUGAUAGUUGUACAUUUCCAUCACUCGUUGUGUUGAUUUCAUCAUGUCCAUUAGGUGAUGUUUUUUCACUAUAGAAUCAUAUUGCAAGUGCGCGCGCAUUUGCAAUAUGUUUCAAUGUGCAUUUACCAUAUGAAAUUUGAAAUGCUCAAAAAUGCAAAAUUGACUGGUCUGAUGAACACAGGAUGGCUGAGCAGUGAUAGUUGUACAUUUCCAUCACCUGUUGUGUUGAUUUCAUCAUGUCCAUUUGUUUAUGUUUUCUCACUUUUGCAAAGUCACUGUGCAUUUGCAAUAUGGUUCAAUGGGCAGGUACCAUCACGAAUUUGUCAUGCUAUAAAAAUCCUGCAGGAAUGUGAAAUUGACUGGUCUGAUGAACACAGGAUGGCCGAGCAGUGAUAGUUGUACAUUUCCAUCACUUGUUGUGUUGAUUUCAUCAUGUCCAUUAGGUGAUGUUUUUUCACUAUAGAAUCAUAUUGCAAAUGCACGUGCAUUGUUGUGCAACUGGUAACCCAAAAAUAAAAAUAUGGUUGUAAAUGCAUUUAGCGGUCAUUCUGAUAUUAAUGCUCGCUAUGGGAACACAGGAUGGCCGGGCAGUGAUAGUUGUACAUUUCCAUCACUCGUUGUGUUGAUUUCAUCAUGUCCAUUAGGUGAUGUUUUUACACUAUAGAAUCAUAUUGCAAGUGCGCGCGCAUUUGCAAUAUGUUUCAAUGUGCAUUUACCAUAUGAAAUUUGACAUGCUCAAAAAUGCAAAAUUGACUGGUCUGAUGGACACAGGAUGGCCGAGCAGUGAUAGUUGUACAUUUCCAUCACUCGUUGUGUUGAUUUCAUCAU